ACAGACUGUUCUAAUAGAUGAACAUUAUUGGAUUCUACAAAGAAUCUGAUAUGGUAUUAAGAAGAACCAAAAUCAAACUGAAGGUGUCAAAAGAUUCUCUGAAUGCCCCCUUUUUUUUUUCUUUUUUUUUUUUCUUUUUUUUUUUUAUGAAUGUCCCCUGAUUUAGUUCAUAAAUUAAAAUUUUCAAAAUGUAUCUCUUUCUUUUUCUUCUAUUUCAUUUUCCUGUUUAGGGACUCCGAUAUGACUGAACCUAGAUGACGAUUAUCAACAAGUCUCACACAAAAGAGGGUGAAAAAAAAAAAGAAAAAAAGAAAAGCCAAAACAAAUAUAUUCAACAUCCAGGGCCACCACCAGCAUGCCCUCGACCCUCGUUCUCCAGAUGUAGAACAGGUUGGGCUAGUUAUCACAAACUGGGUGCUCGGUCAGGCCACAUACAUACCAGGGCAUCCGGGCCAUCAUACGAGCGCCGCAGGAAAUUUGCCGCACUUACGGUAACAGGUUGGUGUUCGUCUUGUGCCUGGCCUGACUAACGAAACAAAAAGAGAUGGAGGGAU
rnacentral:lncRNA from 1 species